GACGAACGCUGGCGGCGUGCCUAACACAUGCAAGUCGAACGAGAUGCGUAUCGGAAAGCUUCGGCCGGAAGAUGCGUUAUCUAGUGGCGGACGGGUGAGUAACACGUGGGUAACCUGCCUUAUGGAGGGGGAUAACAGAGAGAAAUCACUGCUAAUACCGCAUAAGCACACAGUACCGCAUGGUAGAGUGUGAAAAGAUUUAUCGCCAUAAGAUGGACCCGCGUCUGAUUAGCCAGUUGGCAGGGUAAAAGCCUACCAAAGCGACGAUCAGUAGCCGAUCUGAGAGGAUGACCGGCCACAUUGGGACUGAGACACGGCCCAAACUCCUACGGGAGGCAGCAGUGGGGAAUAUUGCACAAUGGGGGAAACCCUGAUGCAGCGACGCCGCGUGAGUGAAGAAGUAUUUCGGUAUGUAAAGCUCUAUCAGCAGGGAAGAUAAUGA
rnacentral:rRNA from 1 species